AUGGUCCCUGAUUGCGACUCCCAUGCACGGACGCUUCUGCUGAAUCAGUCUGCCUGGGCCCUGGGCAGCUGUAGAGCAUCUACCGGCACCUAGGGCAAAGCAGCCGGACAUACAGACUUAGGGAGCCGAGGUCUCAAGAUCUCCACUUUCAUUCACCUAUUGGAAAGACCCCUACCCUAGAAUGCCCGGAAAUUAACUGGAUGCUAUGUAGUGCAGAGUCAAGGGAACCGAUGUUGUACAUGAGGAACCCAGGGAAAGGAAGGAGUAAAUGGCUUUUACAUGUUCCUAUGAGAGUCCCUGAGAGAAUCAUAUCCCUGCCACCAAGGACCUGAAGAUUCAAAGCCUGGAACUUUGAGGAGAUUCUGGACAUACUAGAGAGAGUCUUUCCAUUGUGUAGAGAUCCUUACCCCAUAUCUGCUGGAAGUUCAGAUUCCAUCAACGAAUGAAG